GAUUUCUUCGGAUUGAAGCCUUGGUGACUGAGCGGCGGACGGGUGAGUAACGCGUGGGUAACCUGCCUCAUACAGGGGGAUAACAGUUGGAAACGGCUGCUAAUACCGCAUAAGACCACAGCACCGCAUGGUGCAGGGGUAAAAACUCCGGUGGUACAGGAUGGACCCGCGUCUGAUUAGCUGGUUGGUGAGGUAACGGCUCACCAAGGCGACGAUCAGUAGCCGGCUUGAGAGAGUGAACGGCCACAUUGGGACUGAGACACGGCCCAAACUCCUACGGGAGGCAGCAGUGGGGAAUAUUGCACAAUGGGGGAAACCCUGAUGCAGCGACGCCGCGUGAGUGAAGAAGUAUCUCGGUAUGUAAAGCUCUAUCAGCAGGGAAGAAAAUGACGGUACCUGACUAAGAAGCCCCGGCUAACUACGUGCCAGCAGCCGCGGUAAUACGUAGGGGGCAAGCGUUAUCCGGAUUUACUGGGUGUAAAGGGAGCGUAGACGGAAGAGCAAGUCUGAUGUGAAAGGCUGGGGCUUAACCCCAGGACUGCAUUGGAAACUGUUGUUCUAGAGUGCCGGAGAGGUAAGUGGAAUUCCUAGUGUAGCGGUGAAAUGCGUAGAUAUUAGGAGGAACACCAGUGGCGAAGGCGGCUUACUGG
rnacentral:rRNA from 1 species